rnacentral:rRNA from 1 species
GAGGACCAUCUCCCAACCCUAAAUACUCUCUAGUGACCGAUAGUGAACCAGUACCGUGAGGGAAAGGUGAAAAGCACCCCGGGAGGGGAGUGAAAUAGAACCUGAAACCGUGUGCCUACAACAAGUUCGAGCCCGUUAAUGGGUGAGAGCGUGCCUUUUGUAGAAUGAACCGGCGAGUUACGAUAUGAUGCGAGGUUAAGUUGAAGAGACGGAGCCGUAGGGAAACCGAGUCUUAAUAGGGCGUAUUAGUAUCAUGUCGUAGACCCGAAACCAUGUGACCUACCCAUGAGCAGGUUGAAGGUGAGGUAAAACUCACUGGAGGACCGAACCAGGGCACGUUGAAAAGUGCUUGGAUGACUUGUGGGUAGCGGAGAAAUUCCAAACGAACUUGGAGAUAGCUGGUUCUCUCCGAAAUAGCUUUAGGGCUAGCGUCGAUGUUAAGUCUCUUGGAGGUAGAGCACUGUUUGGGUGAGGGGUCCAUCCCGGAUUACCAAUCUCAGAUAAACUCCGAAUGCCAACGAGAUAUAAUCGGCAGUCAGACUGCGAGUGCUAAGAUCCGUAGUCGAAAGGGAAACAGCCCAGACCACCAGCUAAGGUCCCAAAAUAUAUGUUAAGUGGAAAAGGAUGUGGGGUUGCACAGACAACUAGGAUGUUAGCUUAGAAGCAGCUAUUCAUUCAAAGAGUGCGUAAUAGCUCACUAGUCGAGUGACCCUGCGCCGAAAAUGUACCGGGGCUAAACAUAUUACCGAAGCUGUGGACUACACCAUUAGGUGUAGUGGUAGGAGAGCGUUCUAAGGGCGUUGAAGGUCGAUCGUGAGGACGGCUGGAGCGCUUAGAAGUGAGAAUGCCGGUAUGAGUAGCGAAAGACAGGUGAGAAUCCUGUCCACCGUAUGACUAAGGUUUCCUGGGGAAGGCUCGUCCGCCCAGGGUUAGUCGGGACCUAAGCCGAGGCCGAUAGGCGUAGGCGAUGGACAACAGGUUGAUAUUCCUGUACCAGUUGUUUUUGUUUGAGCAAUGGAGGGACGCAGUAGGCUAAGGAAUGCAUGCGAUUGGAAGUGCAUGUCCAAGCAAUGAGUCUUGAGUAGAGUUAAAUGCUUUACUCUCUAAGGACAAGUUGUGACGGGGAGCGAAAUAAUAGUAGCGAAGUUCCUGAUGUCACACUGCCAAGAAAAGCUUCUAGUGAGAAAACAACUGCCCGUACCGUAAACCGACACAGGUAGUCGAGGAGAGUAUCCUAAGGUGAGCGAGCGAACUCUCGUUAAGGAACUCGGCAAAAUGACCCCGUAACUUCGGGAGAAGGGGUGCUGACUUCGGUCAGCCGCAGUGAAUAGGCCCAAGCGACUGUUUAUCAAAAACACAGGUCUCUGCAAAAUCGUAAGAUGAAGUAUAGGGGCUGACGCCUGCCCGGUGCUGGAAGGUUAAGAGGAUGGGUUAGCUUCGGCGAAGCUCAGAAUUGAAGCCCCAGUAAACGGCGGCCGUAACUAUAACGGUCCUAAGGUAGCGAAAUUCCUUGUCGGGUAAGUUCCGACCCGCACGAAAGGCGUAAUGAUUUGGGCACUGUCUCAACGAGAGACUCGGUGAAAUUUUAGUACCUGUGAAGAUGCAGGUUACCCGCGACAGGACGGAAAGACCCCAUGGAGCUUUACUGUAGUUUGAUAUUGAGUGUUUGUACCACAUGUACAGGAUAGGUAGGAGCCGAUGAGACCGGAACGCUAGUUUCGGAGGAGGCGCUGGUGGGAUACUACCCUUGUGUUAUGGCUACUCUAACCCAGAUAGGUUAUCCCUAUCGGAGACAGUGUCUGACGGGCAGUUUGACUGGGGCGGUCGCCUCCUAAAAGGUAACGGAGGCGCCCAAAGGUUCCCUCAGAAUGGUUGGAAAUCAUUCGCAGAGUGUAAAGGUAUAAGGGAGCUUGACUGCGAGAGUUACAACUCGAGCAGGGACGAAAGUCGGGCUUAGUGAUCCGGUGGUUCCGCAUGGAAGGGCCAUCGCUCAACGGAUAAAAGCUACCCUGGGGAUAACAGGCUUAUCUCCCCCAAGAGUCCACAUCGACGGGGAGGUUUGGCACCUCGAUGUCGGCUCGUCGCAUCCUGGGGCUGUAGUCGGUCCCAAGGGUUGGGCUGUUCGCCCAUUAAAGCGGCACGCGAGCUGGGUUCAGAACGUCGUGAGACAGUUCGGUCCCUAUCCGUCGCGGGCGUUGGAAAUUUGAGAGGAGCUGUCCUUAGUACGAGAGGACCGGGAUGGACUUACCGCUGGUGUACCAGUUGUUCUGCCAAGGGCAUUGCUGGGUAGCUAUGUAGGGAAGGGAUAAACGCUGAAAGCAUCUAAGUGUGAAGCCCACCUCAAGAUGAGAUUUCCCAUGAUUUU